CCAAGGAGUCUAACACGUACGCAAGUGGUGGGGUGGAAAACCCGAAGGCGCAAUGAAAGUAAAGCUUGUGCGACACGGGCUCCGGNUUCGGCCGGCGCAUGNGGCCCCUUUCCGGCUGCAUGUCAGNGGAGCGGCGGUAGAGCGUACACGUUCGGACCCGANAGAUGGUGAACUAUGCGCAAGCAGGGCGAAGCCAGAGGAAACUCUGGUGGAGGCUCGAAAUGGUUCUGACGUGCAAAUCGAUCGUCAGACUAGGGUAGAGGGGCGAAAGAUUAAUCGAACCAUCUGGUAGCUGGUUCCCUCCGAAGUUUCCCUCAGGAUAGCUGUGCGUUCAAGUCGCAGUUUUCUCCGGUAAAGCGAAUGAUUAGAGGCCUUGGGGACGAAACGACCUCAACCUAUUCUCAAACUUUAAAUGGGUAAGAAGUCUCGGUUGCUUGACUCUGAACCGUGGACAGUGAAUGUGAGCUCCAAGUGGGCCAUUUUU
rnacentral:rRNA from 1 species